rnacentral:rRNA from 1 species
UACGGGGGGGGCAAGCGUUGUUCGGAAUUACUGGGCGUAAAGGGCUCGUAGGUGGCCAACUAAGUCAGACGUGAAAUCCCUCGGCUUAACCGGGGAACUGCGUCUGAUACUGGAUGGCUUGAGUUCGGGAGAGGGAUGCGGAAUUCCAGGUGUAGCGGUGAAAUGCGUAGAUAUCUGGAGGAACACCAAAGGCGAAGGCAGCGUCCUGGCAAGUCACUGACGCUCAGGUGCGAAAGCUAGGGGAGCGAACGGG